CCCCAUUUGGUCUCAGCAGGGCUAUCUUUUUCCUUGUUCUCCUCUUCCCAAGGAUCGGAGGGCACCUUACUUCCCCUAGCAGAGUGGAGGUGGAUGAAGGACAUAAAGGCAGGGGGUGUUGAUCCUAACAGCACUGCCUGCCCGCUGAUCCCGGAGUCUGCUUCCUGGGAUCCAAGCCAUGACUCUUUCACUGAAAUUGCUUUAAGGAGUGGCCUGCUGUCAUUUUUUACUGAGGAAGACAUAAAAACACUUUCUGGUGCUGGAGGCGGGAAAUCUGGUCUACAAGUAACUAGUUGUAUGAUCUAUUCUACAGUUUCACCCAGAUGGAGCUAAAGCCCUCGGAGAAAAUUUCAGCAGCC
rnacentral:lncRNA from 1 species